rnacentral:rRNA from 1 species
GCGCACCAGGCGCGAAACCUUCGCAAUGCGGGAAACCGCGACGAGGGGACUCCCAGUGCCUACGCUCAGCGUAGGCUGUUCCCGAGCCUAGAAAGCUCGGGGAGUAAGGGCUGGGUAAGACGGGUGCCAGCCGCCGCGGUAAUACCCGCAGCCCGAGUGGUGGCCACUAUUAUUGGGCCUAAAGCGUCCGUAGCCGGCCCGGUAAAUGCCUGGGUAAAUCGUGAGGCCUAACCUCACGAAUUCCGGGUAGACUGCCGGGCUAGGGGACCGGAGGAGGGAGAGGGGUACUCCGAGGGGUAGGGGUGAAAUCCUGUAAUCCCUGGAGGACCACCGGUGGCGAAGGCGCUCUCCUAGGACGGGUCCGACGGUGAGGGACGAAAGCCAGGGGAGCGAACCGGAUUAGAUACCCGUGUAGU